rnacentral:rRNA from 1 species
AGUGAACGCUGGCGGCGUGCUUUACACAUGCAAGUCGAACGAGAACGGGAUAUAGCUUGCUAUAUUUGUCAGCUAAGUGGCGCACGGGUGAGUAAUGUAUAGAUAACCUGCCCUCUAGAAAGGAAUAACAGUUGGAAACGACUGCUAAUGCCCUAUAUGCCUUUAAUACAUAAGUAUGCAAGGGAAACGCUUUAGUGCUAGAGGAUGGGUCUGUAUGGUAUCAGCUUGUUGGUGAGGUAAUGGCUCACCAAGGCUAUGACGCCUAACUGGUUUGAGAGGAUGAGCAGUCACACUGGAACUGAGACACGGUCCAGACUCCUACGGGAGGCAGCAGUGGGGAAUAUUGCACAAUGGACGAAAGUCUGAUGCAGCAACGCCGCGUGGAGGAUGACACAUUUCGGUGCGUAAACUCCUUUUAUAUAGGAAGAUAAUGACGGUACUAUAUGAAUAAGCACCGGCUAACUCCGUGCCAGCCGCCGCCGUAA